rnacentral:lncRNA from 1 species
GGGGCACUUAACUCUGAGCCACAUUCCCAACCCUUUUUUAUAUUUUAUUUAGAGACAGGAUCUUGCUGAGUUGCUUAAGGCCUUGCUAAGUUGCUGAGCCUGACCUUGAACUCACAGACUCCUGCCUCGGCCUCCCAAGCUACUGGGAUUACAGGCAUGCACCACCACACCCAGCAGUCUUUUGGCUUUCUGUUUCAUGGCCCAGAAGUAUCAGAAGCAACUCUGCUAGGGAGAUCCCUCCUCCAUCCCCCUCCAUCCCAUUAUCUCCCCUCUGAUGAUACCUGCAUGGAAUGGCAGGUAGUGGCUUGUGGUUUUGCUGUUGUGAGCCAUUCCAGGACUGUUUCCAGGCAGGAACAAAGUGCCACAACUCUUAGGAGAUUUAGCAACUGAAAUUUAUGGUCUCAGUUGGGCUGAAGUCCUGCAUAGAGGUGUGAGAGGCUCUUCUCUAGGCCUGUCUCCUGGUCUCUGUAGUCUUGUGGCCAGUGGUAGCUUAACUUGUCCUCACAUAUGUUCUCCCUGCAUCUGUCCCAAUUUCCCAUUCUAUGUGGACCCCAGCCAUAUUGGAUUAGGGUCCACCUUAAUGACCUCAGCCUAACUUGGCAAAAGAGCAUCUCUUCAAAUAAUAUUGUAUUCUGAGGUACUGGGGGGGGGGAGGCAAUUCAAUCCUCAUCUUUCACCUCUACAUGCACUUCUGGCCAGUCUGUUCAGGCUCAGGUGCAGGUGGCAGUAAGUAGAGAUGGUGUCUGCCAAUCCCUUCAUUGACCCUCUUUCCUGGCCUCGUGGUGGUCCUGAGGUUCCUUUUGUAGAGUUUUAGGGAAAUCUCUCCCCUCUAUGCAUUGCUGUAGCACACCUGCCUCACAUGCCAGCGCCUGGGCCAACACCCAGGCUGCCUUCUCCCUGUCCAGCCCUCCUGCAGAGUGACCUCAACGGUCUCAUGGAAAAAUCUGUCCCAAGAGCUCUCUGCCAAUAAAAUUGUACCACGAUCUUGCAGUCAAUUCCGUGUUAGUAAUAAGAGGCUGCUUUUGUUCUUAGAGCCUCCAGUGGCUUUCUGUCUCCCUCAGAGCGAAAGCCACACUCCUCACACAGGUCAAUGGGAUCCUCCCGGAUCUCCCAAAUACCUCUCACCUCGUCUCACUGAUGCUUUGCUCAGCGCCAGCAACACUGGUCUUCACGCUCUCUUUUGAGCUCCCCAGCCUUGGGCGGGGGAGGGGGGGUUGCGUUUUCUGUAUCUUCUGGAAUGUGCCUCUCAAGUAUCUGCUCAUAGGUCACUUUCUCAGACAGUUCUUCCCUGACCAUCCUAUUUAAGAUUGCAGGCCCCUCCCCGAGCUCCUCUUACCUCUUCUCUGCUUUGUGCCUUGUCAUCGCCAUGGGACAUAACAGACUUUUUUUUUUUUUUAAUUGUCUAUCUCCUCCAUGCCACAAUGGCAUUUUUCUGUGAGCAAAAUUUUUUUCUUCCUGUUUUAUUCACUACUGCAUCUCAAUAUUUAGAAGAUGACCAGCAUGUAGAAGACACUUUGAUAUCAAUUUUUUCACCCAUCUGUGCAUGUUACCCCACCCAUGCUGGUGUUCUCAGAUGGAGAAGUUUGACCUCCUCCCUUAGGAAAAUGUAAUUAAAAUCUAGCUUCCCUGGAUCCUUGGCACAAUUAUUAGACCGAAAACCUUCCUAAAGCAGAAGGGCAGCCUGAGCAAUGAGGCUCCAGGGCCUUCUAACACUAAACUGCUACGUGAGUUUAGAGAGCAACAAUCCCUCUGAAUCCCAAUUGCCCAAUCUGAAAAAUGGGUAUGUCAUGAUACCUAUCUUGUAGGGAUGUGAAAAUUAAUUCAUGUACAGAAAAAAACUGACUUAGGGUGGCAUUCCAUAAAUAUGAAUCAUUAUUAUAGCUAUAAAACUUUGUAUUUUUAAAAUGUUUUAAAAUAUUUUUUUAGUUAUAAAUGGACAGGAUACCUUUAUUUUAGUGAUUUAUUUUUAAAUCAAACCCAGGGCCUCGUGCAUGUAAGGCAAGUGCUUUAUCACUGAGCUACAACCCCCAGACCUUGUGUUUUUUAGAGAAGACCUACAUGUAGAAAUAUCUGUACUUCAUUCAUAAUAGAUAAAUGAGUUUCAUAAAUCAUUUUACUAUUCACUGGAGGAAACAGUACAAUAAAACAUUACUGAAAAAUGACUUACAA